CGAUACAACACUAAUGACUAUCACAUCACAGCUGCACUCUGACGAGCGGAAAGUUACGGUCACGGGAAAAUACAACAAACGUGUCCUUCUGGCCACAACUGAAGCAGUUUUCGACAUCACCACGCUGAGAGAGACUUGGAUAGAGUGUUUUGCAUUUGUCAGAUGGGAGGAUGGUUAUACCGGCAACAUCUUUACAGAGCUGCCAUUUUGAAAAGGGAUGAGGCUCCAGUACAGCUGCAAGAUCUUCGAUCAGGAAAUCCCGUUUUAGCAAAAUGGUCAGAUGGUGCUGAACCAUCAUUUGCCCUUGCAUGUUCCUAUUUGAUGCAUUUUGAGAUCACUUUUUCCUUAUUGAAGAGUGUCAACAUGCAAUCCCUUUCGGUCGUCCUGGCAUCAAUGCCUCAGAAAAGGGGGUCCUUGACCAGAAAAAAGUCACAGGAAUCAUGACUUAUGUCGUGAGGUUUUCGAAUUUGCCUGGGAAUUUGCCUGACUUGGAUCAUAUGGAGGAGGCAAACUAAAAAAAGCCUUUGCAUAUAAAUGCAGAGCAAGAGCCAUUUCGUAGGAGUGCUGUAUCUCCAAAUUCUCUCCAGUUGAGGUUUACCUACAGGUAGUCCCCGAUUUACGAACAAGUUCCGUUCCUGUGUUGGCGCCGUAGCUCCGGUGUUCUGCCAAAAUCUACAUCGGUGAAACGUCUACUUGAGUCGAAUUUGACACCCAAAGUAGUACUGUGCGCGCUCAACUCUUUUGUUUAGAUGCGUAUAGGCAGAACGUACUAAAAAAUGCCUUAAGAAAAUACUUAAAUGUAGUUAUAUUAAAUACAGUUUAAAUGCGCUACGUGACUAAUGUGGUCAACUGCUUUAAAGCUAACACAAAAAAAUGGUUAAAAGUAUGAGAGGGUAAUAACAUGCAAAAAGUACUUUUGAGGCCAUGAGAAGGUACUAACUAAACUCAAUAAAAACAAAAAUAGUGAGUACUAGCCGAUUUGCGAAUGCUUGCGCAAGCGCGCUGAGGACACAGGAUUUCCACAUAAGUCUGCAUGAACCCUUUAAGUACCUGAAAACACCUUCUAAAAAAUAUCCCAAAACACAGAUUAUACUUUCCUCGCCAAGAUAGAGCCAAGUUCUAGCUAGACAGUGAGUUCGAUGAGACGUCCGUGUGGUUUGCUGACUUUAUUCAGCUUCUCAUUACAUCAACACUUUCAGAAUGAAAUUAAAAUAAGAUUAAAUUAAAUCAGUCUCACCUUUUAUAACAACAAUUCACAUUUGCGUUUACAAGUAGCUCCUGAUACAGCAAUAAUAAAUUAUUAGCAUGUAUCAGUUAGCAUCCGCACAUCAUCAAAAACAACAUAACAGUUGCACCCCAAGUAUUUAACCGCAAUUGAAAAGCAGUACAAAAGGGAUUAUAUACAGCCGUCGCCUGCGGGUGCUUCACAAGCAACAAAUGUGCGCGCAGGUUGUCACUUUUGUCACUCGGCUGCUGCGUGUGCGGGGUGAGCUGGCACAUCUGUACAUAUGCUCGCUUCUUGUUCUAUGCUUCCUGCGCCAAAAUAUAAGUAUGCAUGCAUCACAAAAAAGUCAACAUUGAAAAACAAAAAACAAGACGCAGAUGUUGUAAAGUCGAAAACGAGAAGUCUUGUCCGUUGUAACCUGGGGACUACCUGUAUUUCAUUCCAAACACAUUUUAACCCUUUCAGUGCCAUUUAAGUGUCCAAUCUUUUAGCUUUUUUUAUUUUUCAUCUGUGAAUUUCAAUCUGUCACUAAUAAACAUCCACUGCAUUUUAACUAGAAGGGUGACGACGGUGAAUUCGUUAAUUUGCUGCCAGCGCUUCCAGUUCAGAUGGAGAGAAGGUUUAAGCGCUGUCAAUGGCAGCCAACAGUUUUAAAGCAACACUUGGUAACUUUUCAGUUUUAGUAGAUUUUAGCGACGCGGUUGGACAAAAGCUGUAGUGCUUUGCCUUAAGGAAGACCGCGUUUCCCAUGAGGACCAGCACACACCCGAAUGGUGUCGUAAAAUCACAAUGGUCACCUGCAGCUGGAUAAAACAUGUUUCCAGCGGCUGUGUGAAGGAUGAAAAGUAUUAAGGUAAUUAAUCAGUGUGGCCCACCCCACCCGAACUCAUCGUUCUGUAAUUCCUGGUAGCAGCCCUUUCUUUUCAGACAAACUUUUUAUCUCGCUGCUCUCCCAUCUUUGCAGAAAGCGUUAGCAUCGACUUCCAUAUUUAUAAUGAAUGGGGAAAGUCAAUUAGUGACGGUGAAAGCGAUUAAGACCCCUUCAAGAUCUAAGAGCUGGCAUUCAACUAGUCAGUUGACAUAUGAUCAAAAAUGUUAUGAAAAUAUUUUAUAAAGUUUGAAAACUUACCUAGUGUUGCUUUAAUGUAUUUAUGAAGUAAUUGUGAGCUGUUCUAAAUAUUUUAAA